ACGUGUGACUGGCUUGUACAGACGGGUUCUCAAACGACUGUGCGUUGUGUGGGUUGGCUAUGUUGUGCGUUGGAACAAACGGUAUAGUUUCUGGAUUUAAUGUGUGGGUUGUUGUAUGUGAUUCAAUAUGACGGGACUGCGGUGUUUGGACAUUUUGUAUGAACUUACGUAUGUGGCGAAUCUUCGUUUCCAUAUCCACUGAAUAUUCAUCUGAAUCUAUUAUCUCAUUUUCCACAUUUUCCGGUUCUGUUAACUUUAGAAUUUGUUCGUUUAAGUCCUCAAACAAUGUUUGUUUUUGCACUAGUUUUCCGAGUGUUGCAAUAACUUCUUCUUCGUCGAAAUUCGAAUUCUCCUUUGCUUCAUCUA
rnacentral:lncRNA from 1 species